GGCUCUGAGAAUCUGUCCUUAGUCAUUCCUAGACCUCCCCAGGGAGUAAGAAUGGAUUGCUGUAUAGCAGAAACCCACCACCAGGUGACAGUGUCUGUAGUUCAGAUGGCAUAGUUCAGGUGGCAGCUCUUGACUGGCACCUGUAAAGUUGGCAGAGGUGCCAGAGCCUCUCCUGCCAUUGUGUGACAUCAACUUACCUUUUGCUCUUAGGCCUUCUCUCUCAGCAGCUCCCCUCUCACCCCUGUAAGCCAGACAGCACAAGCAUCAGCCAUAGUAAGUGCCAACUCUGGGUCAGGUGCUCCCUUCCUGAUUGACACAUAUCUUGAGUUGGAAUUAGGAUGCAGUGGAUGAAAGGAUAAAGAAGCAGGAAAUAUCCCUGGAAGUGGUCAAACAGUAAGUAUGCAUGGGUACCUUGAUGACUCAAAGAUCAUCAACAUUUAUAAUUCUGUCCAUCUGGAUAUCAACCUGGAUGUCUGAUCUCUCAAAGCUGCUGGGCCACUUGGGCAGCUGCAGUCUUGGUUUCUGCCACACGAGGGUGCUGCUGACCAAUUAAAACUCCUGCCCCUUAGGCAUAGUUUGGGUGGCAGAGGCAGGCACCCUUUCCUCCAGACAGGGAUCAGAAACAAUCUGAGAGAAUCUGGGAGCCAGGCCCCAAGAAGCCAAAAGAAUAAUUAGUACCACUUGCUCUUCCUUAAAAAUGGCCUGAUACCCUGAACACUCCACCCUAGUGGCCUGACACCUCCAUAUGUUUCCAUCUGAAUUCAGGAAGCCCCCAGCGCUAGACACCACACAUCUUGCAUAGGUGCUUUUCUCCCUCAGGGUGUAGCAGGUUUCAGCUGCCCUUCCCUUCUACCCCCAUUGUCUCCCUGCCUCUUAAACAAUCACUUUCUAGUCUAGAGAGUAGGGGUUCCUGUGGGUUUCAAAGAAAAAAAAUCUCACAGUCCUAAGAAAAGUAUCUUUGUUAGCGAUAGAGUGUUGGGAAGAGGAAAGUAAAGAAGCUCAGCUUUCUGUGCCCCUAUCACCUCCGCCAGCACAGACCUGCCAAACUCAAGAUGGUCCAAUGGAUGUUUGCAGCUUGCAUGGCAGGGGGACACCCAAAAAAAGGUGUCACGAAGCUGGAUGGGGAGGGGGGAUGCUUUGGCCCUUGAGCUUCAAACUGACCCCAUAUGGUGUACUGGUUCUGCCAAGGAUCCAAGUGGCCAUGGGGCCCUUAUGAGGGUGAGAUAUCCCACAAUUGAUCCUCAGUUUCCAUGAAGCCCUUCCAGGCUGAACAGACUAAGGGAGAUGACAGAGGUUCUCCUCCUCCCUCCUACCCCCAUGCCCGAGGGCCCCUCCCCAGGAGGACAGCUUGAUUAAACAGUCGGUGCUGCUGGAAUUACUGCACAGCUGGCGCUCCCCCCAGCACCCCGAGCAGAGCAGCAGCGCAGAUUAAAAUCUCCAAUUAGCGUUAAAGUGAAGUGAGGAGGUACCGAGGCUGCCAAGGAGGCCAGGCGGGGGCCCUGGGUCUACAGACACCCCCACUGGUGCCUAGAUUCUGAGUACCACCUUCAGACACCCCUUCUUUCCUAGCUUCUCUCCCAACAGCUCUCAGUGGCCAUUAACUUUGCAUUGCUUGGGGCCAGAGGGCUUUCUGAGGGGCAGAGGGUGGAGCAGAUGCCUUACCUGACAAAAUGCUGGGGACACCAUAAGUGUGGAGAAGAAUGAAUGAUCAGUGCUUGUCAGGGGAGACACCCUGCUCACAGCCUGCCAGGCGACCUGGUUGAGGGGACUUCACACUACUGCUGCUUCUUUUUGCCUAGAGAAAGGGCAAAUAGGACAAGUCCCUCUGGACCCUCUUACCUAUAAGGUGCUGGGUGUUGUGGUGCCCAUACAAACAUCCAUCCUUGUAUAUUUUAUCCCAUCUGACCCAUCUGCUCCCACCCAAAUUAUGACUCUGUUCUUCCCUCCCUCUGUUAUUUUUCUCAGCUUUCCUAUGGGUAGGGGUAGGCACAGCCUAGCUUGGGAGCAUCGCCAUGCCCUGCCACCUGGGUCCCAGCCGGCUUCUCAUUACCUUCUUUGCAGUCUGGGAAGGAGCAGAGAUAUGCCAAGAAUGGAGGCCUUAGACUCUUGCAACCUCUGAACAUCACACCCUCUACCAUUUAUACUUUUACCUUUCACCCACCAAGCCCAGAAGGAGGGCAGCACAGCUAGCCACACCCUUUGACUUCCCUCUGCCCCUUUAAGGGAAAUGGAGGUUCGUACCCAGCUGACUGAACCUACUCACACCUCCAGAAAUUAGACACCAGGGCACAGUGCCACCCUCCCAGGCUGGCACAUGCUACUCUGGCAGAGGUUCAAAUAACACCCCCCCUUCAUCCUCCCACCCCUAUGUCUUCCUCUUCUCUCUCCCUCUUUCUUCCCCUCUCUCUCUCUCUCUCUCUCUCUUUUUUUCUCAGCUCAAAGCACAGCUGAGCCUUAAAAGGAGGGGGGGAGACCAAGCUGGGGCAGGGGGUGGAGAGCUCCAAUAGCACGUUUUCACCUGCCAUUUAAUUGGAUGUAUUUUUAAUUAAUGGGACCUUAGGGACCAACAUGAGACAAUCUGAUCUCUGAAUAGGGACAGGGGAGGGAUUGGGUUAGGGAGGAGGAUUGGGCCACUGGGUGCGGUUACUGGGAACCCAGGCCCAUCAAUCACUGGCCACUUUGCUCUCUGGCAUGGGGAAUAGUGAGGUGGAGGAGGAGGGGAGGUGCUAGGGAGAGUUGCCAGGAUUUCCCCCCAACUGCCAGGACCUCUAAAAAAGGAAGAACUGUACCAACUGACUUGGGUUUGAGGCCCAAAAUUGCAGCCAGGAUAUUAGGUAAGGCAAUUUUCUUGCUCCUAGGAUUUUGUCCAGCUGGGCUUGUCCAGUGAGAUGUAAAACUGAAAUGAAAGUGGGACAGAGUUUUGAGGUCCUUGAAGAGAGGGAGCAAGAGCUAGGGACCAUAGAACCUGAGACGGUGUAUGAGGAAAGAGGAAGGCAGAGUUUAAAGAUAUUUCUGAAUGUUUAGACGUAAGAGAAGUGUCCUGGAGGUUACAUGCAAAGCAGCAUACAUGUGAGGACUGAUGAUUUUGGGAUGUGAAUCAUAGAACCUUACUGCUGCAAAGGAGAAAACUUGGAGUUCAUCUUACUGAAUCUUCACUUUACAGAUGUGGAAAUGGAAACCCAGAGAGGAAAAAUCAGUUGAGUCCUGUCCUGGAAUUGCUUUGUGUUCCUGGCUUUGGAGACUUCCUGGGAACCCAAGGAAAGGAUGGUAGGUUGGGAAGAGAUUUGGAUGUCUGAACCUCCCACCUGACACCUCGAAGGUUGUUAUACAUAUACCCUCUCUAGCUUCCAAAACCACCACGGAGGAAGGGAAGAAAGGCAUCUCAGAGGUGGCAGUGAUAUGAUACCUAACACCACCUAGGAAAUGAGGCCAAGGAGGAGAAGAAACAGUGACCAGAGAGGGAGCCAGGAGAUGCCUGCUCUUGAAACAGCCUCUUUAUCCCAUCCUCUCCAGAGCCCCCUCUCACAUGCUGACAAGGCUGUGUGCCCAAGUGUGCCAGCUCUCCUGGCUAGCAAUCCUGCUCUGCCGUUCAGGCAGCCGGCUCUCUGCUCUGGCACAGAGCACAUGCUGGGGUCUCUCACACUCUCUUUGCUCACUCAUCUCAUGUGUCUGUGUUGCAGAUUCCUAGGGAUGAAAGAGGAAGCUAUGGCCCUGUGAGUAGGAAGAUGGUGGGUUUGGGUGCUUUGGGUGUAUAUUUGCCUCACUAGAGAUCAAAGAGGGAGAAGGCUGCUGGCAGCUCAGCUGAGCUCAAGGUUCUGGUGACUCAUAGCAAUGGGGGCAACUCAUGAAAACAACAGAGAGGAAGGGGGUCCAGGAUUGUUAGAGCUCUCUUUUGCCCCAAUUUUCCCCCACUCUGAACUGUGUGGAUGAGUCUCUCAUCUGGAUUGUGGGGCAAAGAGAGGCUCCAGCUAUGAAAGAAUAGAGGGAAAUGGGAGAGAAGAGAUUAGGAGAAGUUGAACAUUCCCAGGAAGAGGCUUCCCACUGAGGAAAGGAUAGCAGAGGCCAGUAGUAUCCUAUUGUAUCCAUUGGCUGCCAGAGGGAACUGAGUAUUCACAUGUGCAGGUAGACACAGCUACUCCUCCCUGGAAGGAUUUUCACUUGGUCUCAGUACUCUCUACCCUGCAAACAGACACCAUAGAUCUUCAAAGGUACUGAUUCUCUCUUCCCGUACAAGCCAGAUGGGCAGUGUGCAUCUUCUCCAUCCUUUCUGAAUCUGGGAUGAUAGGAUAUUGUGUUUGAGAUCACAUCAGCAGAAAAGGGCCAGAAGGUGGACCAAGAGAACCAUUCAUGCCUCUGACCGCAGUCCCAGUGUCUGACACCCACAGUCCUCCUUGUUUCAGCAAAAGGAAACAGGGAAACAGGGAUCUUUGAUACUAGUGUAUCCAGAUAAUAGUACUCUCCCUCUAACCUCAGUGAAGGAUGGGCUAAGAGGAGGAGAGUUCUCUGACAGAGCCCUUCAUUUGCCUAUUUUGUUGCUGGCAGCUCUGGUGUCCAGGUUGGGGGGGGCGGGAACUGGGCAGGGGGUGCACUCUGCUGGGCUGCUUCUGGAGAUCCAGCUGGGGUCUGGAGAAAGUGAUAGACCAGCCACUUUUCACUCUUCACUUUUCCUGUAGGAGGAUAAGACCAUUUCUACUCCUGCAGCUCUCCCUGGCAGCAUUGGGAGCUUAGGGCCCCCUGCUGGAAUACCCAUAAUAAAGCUCAGUCCUGAACUGAACCAACACAUCACCUGGCUCUGGUAUAAAAAUGGUGCUGUGAGGGGGAGCCUGGGUACACCAGGUGGGUGUAGGCAGGUGUGGGGAGUUUAGACCCAGGAGAGAGAUUAGAAUCACUCCUCAAUAACACAUGCUCCUCCUCUUUCUCAAACUUUCUUCUUGGGCUCCCUUUUCUUCUACUUCACUCCAGCUAGCCCCAUUCCUGGCCACCUCAUCCCCUCCAGCUUGAGAAGGUAUGGUAAGUAGUUUUCUGUUCCUUAUACUUUUCUCUCUCCCACUCUCUUCCUCUACUCCCAACUCCCAACCAAAAGGUCCCCCAUUUGAACUCUUUGCACCAGUAAAUGCCAUCAGAAACUGAACCCAAAAUCCCCAGCCUCUGCCACCACCACCACCCCCCCCCCGCCCCCGACUCUGAGAAUGCCUCUGAUUCUGAGACUGACUCUUUAGUGUUCAUCCUCCCCACAAGGCCAAGACUAGUAUGUCCACUGACAGCAAGGGCCCUGACCUGAGGCAGAGGGCAGCUCUAAGGGUACAGUGGGGCCUGGCCCUAAAUGUGUGUAUGCCUGUGCAUUGGGCACACUGGUUUAUUAGUGUUAUUUCAGCAUUGUGAUGCAGAGAGAGUAAGUGUAACAGCUGCUCCUUGCUUGCAGUGUUUAUUGUUACCUAGAGACAACCUCCUGGCUUUUUCCCAGCUCCCCCUCCCCCCCAGCCCAACCCCCUCCCUGCCAACAGUCCUACUCUCCCCACACUGAUGGGAAAUUUAUAGCUUGCCCAUACUAUGCCUUUAACCCUCUCCUGUCCAUAGGGUAGGUGGGGUGAGGGAAGCCAAAGAGAGCAGUGGGCAUGCUUGGGCCCCAGCAAGGUAGAAUGGCGUGCAGAGGGAGGUAGGAGGGAGGACCCUCCCUUCCCCAGUCAGUGUGUCCAGACUCAGGCGCCAGUUGCCCUCCUGACUCUCAUGUUGAGAGAAAACAGCUUUGGAUCCAGCCUUGAAAUCCCAGCAUCCUCCUCACAAGAUGAUUCUCUUCCCUGGGCAUCUCUAAGCCCCCCAGUUGGGCUGCCUGGUCCUGAGGAAGCAUAGUGAGGUAGUAUUGAAACCGGAAUAAGUGUGGAGUGACAGAGCUCCCAGCCCCCUCCUUUCUGCAGAGAUGUCAUGUCAAGACUAACAAGAGACUCUGGCAUUAGGGAUGCUGGCCAGAUCUCCCCAACUAGGUGAAUGUUAAACAUGAAACUGGCUGCUGAGUCUAAUGGGAAAAACUGCCCACCUUAACUUUAGCCCAAGCCCAGCACUAGGGUCCCCAGAGACUCCCGGACCUUUCUCCAAGCUGGUCUCCUUGGUCUGGUUAGGCUACUCCUUUCUGCUCUUCUUCCUGGCCCAAUUUUCUCCUGCUUAUCUUUUGGUUUGAUACCUUGGACAAAUCCAAGAGACCAAGGAGACUGAAACAUCUUAGUCAUGGCCUCAACAGAACUGGGAAAAGAGAAGCUCCUCCAACCCCUCCCAGCCUAGGGCCUUGGAAGAGUACCUUGUCAUAUAUUCACUGUCCCCACUGAAAACAAGAGAAAUUGAAGAGGUCAGAUUUUAGCAAAAAAGAUAGAAGAUACACAUAUGGAAAAACUUAUUCAUGGGAUAUAAAACUUGAGAAUGGGCCAAUUUCAGAAACUUUCUUUCUGCCUGGGAUGGGUUUGUCUGUGCCUACCCAGGCAGAAUUGAAAAAAUAGCAUUACUUUUCUGUGGCUUCUCCAGGUGUGGGCCUCAGUGCAAUUUCUACGCUAGCUCUGAGAGUGCACCCCUUCAUGACCCUUCUAAAUGUAGUAUGUGAUGGUUAGAUCACAAGUUUGGGAGGCAGGAAGCCUUGGGUUCCAGCAUCAGCACUACCAUUAGCCAACUAUGCUACCUUAGUAAGUCACUUAACCUUUCUGACCCCUAGUUUCCUUAUCUGUAAAAUUCAGAUAAACAACCUCUUAAGGUUGUGGAGAGCAUUUAGUGAAGUAAUGUGUGUAAAGCACCUAGAACACUGCCUGAUACUCAGUAGGUGCUCAGUGCUUGAUAUAAUAGUCUGUUACUUUUAUGGAGUCACCAGGGCUGACAUUGCUUCAUAGACUCCAUGAAUCCUCUGAAGUUAUAGGCCAAAUAUGUGAAUGUAUGUAUGCUGGGAAGAAUGUCUAUGAUUGUCUUCAUGAUAAGAGCAGGGGGUGGCAGUCUCCUGGAAAGGAAGUACCAAUCCCUUGACUCAGACUCUGCCAUUCCCAUGCCUCAAGCCAGUAGCACAUUAGACAGUGUUCUGCCUGGAAGUAUAGCUUCAUCAUCUAAGAUGGAGCUGUGAGAGAUAACCAUUAGGAUAUCAAUGUCUAACAUUUGCCAGGCACUUUACAUUAGCUCUUUUAAUACCCAGCAUAUUCCAGUAAAGUGAAAAGAACUACCAUUUUUUGAGUGCCUACUAUGUGCGAGAUGGUUUUUUUUUUAAGGAUGUUUGAAGUCUAUAAAGUAUUUCAUCACCCAAAUAUGUUAUGACUUACAAAGCUCAUACCCUAUUUUUAAUCAUUUAAAUAUUUUACUGUUGUAAAUAAUACCACAAUGAACAUUCUAACACAUUAUAAACUUUACUCAAUUUUUCUAGUAAAUUCUAAAAAGUAGAUUUAUUAGGUCAACAGAUACAAUGUCCGUUCUUCCCUGGGUUAUGGUCAUUUUACUGAUAUACCCUAAUGAGAAUAAUGUUUUUUAAGUCAUCCUCUUUAGAAUUCUUCAAUGGAAACACAAGGGCAGCUCCUUUCUCUCCUAGACCCAACAGAGACAUUACUAAUCAAGCAUAGCUUUUUUUAAUUGAGAUAAUUGUAGAUUCACAUGCAGUUUUAAGAAAUGAUACAGAGGGAUGCCUGGGUGGCUCAGCAGUUGAGCGUCUCCCUUUGGCUAAAUAGAACAGUCUAGGGCAGCCUGGGUGGCUCAGGGUUUAGCGCUGCCUUUGGCUCGUGGCGUGAUCCCGGAGUCCCACGUUGGGCUUCCUUCCUGGAGCCUGCUUCUCCCUCUGCCUGUAUCUCUGUGCCUCUGUCUCUCUCUGUGUGUCUCUCAUGAAUAAAUAAAAUUUAAAAAAA
rnacentral:lncRNA from 1 species